UGGGGAAUAUUGCACAAUGGGGGAAACCCUGAUGCAGCGACGCCGCGUGAAGGAUGAAGUAUUUCGGUAUGUAAACUUCUAUCAGCAGGGAAGAAAAUGACGGUACCUGACUAAGAAGCCCCGGCUAACUACGUGCCAGCAGCCGCGGUAAUACGGAGGAUCCGAGCGUUAUCCGGAUUUAUUGGGUUUAAAGGGAGCGUAGAUGGCAUGGCAAGUCUGAUGUGAAAGGCAGGGGCUCAACUCCUGGACUGCAUUGGAAACUGCCGGGCUUGAGUGCCGGAGGGGUAAGCGGAAUUCCUAGUGUAGCGGUGAAAUGCGUAGAUAUUAGGAGGAACACCAGUGGCGAAGGCGGCUUACUGGACAGUAACUGACGUUGAGGCUCGAAAGCGUGGGGAGCAAACAGGAUUAGAUACCC
rnacentral:rRNA from 1 species